GUCAUCGUGGCCUAGUGGGUUAAGGCGACAGACUAGAAAUCUGUUGGGCUCUGCCCGCACAGGUUCGAGUCCUGUCGGCGACG
rnacentral:tRNA from 1 species